GAGGGUAUAGCUCAAGUGGUAGAGUGCAUGCUUAGCAUGCACAGAGUCCUGGGUUCAAUCCCCAGUGCCUCCU
rfam:Camelus ferus unplaced genomic scaffold scaffold468, whole genome shotgun sequence.